GUCCCGGUUGUGGCGCGGUUGGCUGCCCAAAACGAGACGGGACGAUGGCGCUAAACUUGAAGUUUGAGUGUCCCGUCGGCGACUGUCUGCGGGGGCAUGAGAACGGCAAAUCACGCACGAACGCAAACAAUGGUGGAAUCCAUAUGAAACAUCUCACAGAAGACAGUUUGUCUACCAACCAACCUCGGCUCCAGAAAUCUUGUUACAUAAGCACCCGGUCUCAACCACAUUUAAAGACUCUUCUUCACAUCCUGGACCUCUUGGCUCAACUGUAUAUAAUGAGGAGUAUUACUGGAAGCCGCAGUGUAAACCGAACCGCAUUUGCACAGGAACAGCCUCGGGACACUGGAGAAACAACCCACAUCCCAGUCAGGUCUGU